CUACGCACUCCUACGGGAGGCAGCAGUGGGGAAUAUUGCACAAUGGGCGCAAGCCUGAUGCAGCCAUGCCGCGUGUAUGAAGAAGGCCUUCGGGUUGUUAAAGUACUUUCAGCAGUGAGGAAGGUGGGUAUGUUAAUAGCAUAUUCAUUUGACGUUAGCUGCAGAAGAAGCACCGGCUAACUCCGUGCCAGCAGCCGCGGUAAUACGGAGGGUGCGAGCGUUAAUCGGAAUUACUGGGCGUAAAGCGCAUGCAGGUGGUUUGUUAAGUCAGAUGUGAAAGCCCGGGGCUCAACCUCGGAAUUGCAUUUGAAACUGGCAAACUAGAGUACUGUAGAGGGGGUAGAAUUUCAGGUGUAGCGGUGAAAUGCGUAGAGAUCUGAAGGAAUACCGGUGGCGAAGGCGGCCCCCUGGACAGAUACUGACACUCAGAUGCGAAAGCGUGGGGAGCAAACAGGAUUAGAUACCCUGGUAG
rnacentral:rRNA from 1 species